GAAUAUACAACAGUCAGAUGCAUGACACCAUCACAACUUAACUGACAUUAGUGCCUGUCCCCAGAUGGACAGUUAGACUACAGUAAAGUACAUUUACAGGUGAUCACAUCAUUGUCCUGCUUUGAGACACAUUUUUACUGUCUGCUUCCAGUUGCAUGUUAUUUUACUAACCCUGCAAAUUAUAAUAUAUCUUACAAUAUCAAAACAUAUCUCAGUAACUGUCACAAGUAUAUCAGUAUAACAGCAUCCUACCUGUGCUCCACAACAGGGUCAUCAGUAUCACUGCAGGUAUCAUAUCUGUCUCUAACUGGGGUUCCACAGUCUGCUAUCAUAAAGAGUGGACUGAAGAGUGGAAAAUACUGCUAGGCUAUAUGACUUCUAUCUCAUUACAUCCUAACGUCAAUGAUGUGAGAUUAACUUCCUAGCAACUUAUCUUGGAUCAGUGGUUGAACACACUACAGCAAACUGAUAUGUUAAAAAAAAAACUCCACAGGAAACUGCUGACAGAGCAGCAACAUUUCACAUAGUGUCCUAUAAUAUCACCUCUAACUUUCUACUGCUUGAGUUCACCUCUUAUAGAAUAUUGGCUUAAUGUUCCAGCACCUAAAUAUAAACACUUAUCUUGGCCAGGUCGCAAUUGUAAAUGAGAACUUGUUCUCAACUUGCCAACCUGGUUAAAUAAAGGUGAAAUUAAAAAAAAAUGUCCUUGCUUCAGGGCCUGAAUUACAGGCAGUUAGAUUUGAGUUUGUCAUUUUAGGCGAAAAUUGAAAAAAAGGGGCCAAUCCUUAAGAGUUUCAGAGAUUAAGAGUCUCUACUUAAGAGUCUCUCUCGCCAUAGGCAGAGAGAAUACAGGCUAUGUGCCCAGUGCCCACAAAAUAAGGUGGAAAUUGAGCUGCACCUCCUAACCUCCUGUUUAAUGUAGUACGAUAUAGGAGACAUAUUCUGUCAGAUUACAAAGACCCCAAAAUAAUUUGAAAAAGAAUAUGUAAUAUUGACAAACUCCUGUUUCUGUUAGGUGAAAUACCACAGUGUGUAAUCAUGUCAGCAGAAUGUGUGACCUGUUGUGAUGAGAACAGGGGAACCAGUGGAGAACAAACACCACAGUAAAUAAAACCUAGGACUAGAUUUAUCACUUUAGUUAAUAACCCUUGACAUUUGUACUUCUACUUUUUGCACACACAACUCACACUCUCCUACACACACCAACUGGCUGAGAGGGCCCUAGUGGAGCCAGGUGGCUGAGAGGUCCCUAGUGGAGCCAGCUGUCUGAGAGGGCCCUAAUGGAGCCAGCUGGCUGAGAGGGCCCUAGAGGAGCCAGGUGGCUGAGAGGGCCAUAGUGGAGCCAGGUGGCUGAGAGGGCCCUAGUGGAGCAGGCUGGCUGAGAGGGCCCUAGUGUAACCAGAUGGCUGAGAGGGCCCUAGUGUAACCAGAUGGCUGAGAGGGCCCUAGUGUAACCAGAUAGCUGAGAGGGCCGUAGUGUUGCAGGCUGGCUGUGAGGGCCCUAGAGGAGCCAGCUGACUGAGUGGGCCCUAGUGUUUCCAGAUGGCUGAGAGGGCCCUAGUGGUGC
ensembl:lncRNA